CGGGGCGUAGCUCAGUUUGGGAGAGCGCUACCUUGGGGUGGUAGAGGUCGCAGGUUCAACUCCUGUCGCUCCGA
rfam:Desulfotomaculum putei DSM 12395 genome assembly, contig: EJ51DRAFT_scaffold00010.10